ACGCGAAGAACCUUACCCAGACUUGACAUGCAGUAGACCGAUCCAGAAAUGGAUCUUUCCUUCGGGACUGCUGCACAGGUGCUGCAUGGCUGUCGUCAGCUCGUGCCGUGAGGUGUUGGGUUAAGUCCCGCAACGAGCGCAACCCUUAUCAUUAGUUGCCAACAUUUCGGAUGGGAACUCUAAUGAGACUGCCCGGGUUAACCGGGAGGAAGGUGAGGAUGACGUCAAGUCCGCAUGGCCCUUAUGUCUGGGGCUACACACGUGCUACAAUGGUCGGUACAGAAGGCAGCGAAACCGUGAGGCGGAGCAAAUCCCUAAAACCGGCCCCAGUUCAGAUUGUAGUCUGCAACUCGACUACAUGAAGACGGAAUUGCUAGUAAUGGCGAGUCAGCAACAUCGCCGUGAAUACGUUCCCGGGUCUUGUACACACCG
rnacentral:rRNA from 1 species